UCUUAUGUUGCUUUUACUGGAAAUCAGUGCUUUGUUGGUGAUGCUGCCAAGAAUCAAAGUGAUAGAAACCCUGCAAACACCAUCUUUGUGCUUUUCGGAGUUACAAGAGAUUAAGUGGACAAUCUAAGGGAACUAAAUUAACAUGGAUUCCAGCACAGUGUGCUCAACAACCGGGAUCACUAGAAUGUGGCUACCACGUCAUGCGUUUUAUGUACGACAUAAUAAUGAAUCAUGGUAAUAGUCAAGAUCUUACUAAGGAUUUUUCAAGAACAUUGCCUUAUUCACCGGAGGAGAUUAAUGAGGUGAAAGGUUUUUGGGCAGAUUACUUCAUGAACAAUGUCGACUUUUAGCUUAAUUUGUAAUAUGAACUCGAUCUCUGGCUAGA